CCUCGGGUGGCAGCAGUGGGGAAUAUUGGACAAUGGGCGAAAGCCUGAUCCAGCCAUGCCGCGUGUGUGAAGAAGGCCUUCGGGUUGUAAAGCACUUUCAGUGGGGAAGAAAGCCUUGGGGCUAAUACCCUCGAGGAAGGACAUCACCCACAGAAGAAGCACCGGCUAACUCCGUGCCAGCAGCCGCGGUAAUACGGAGGGUGCGAGCGUUAAUCGGAAUUACUGGGCGUAAAGCGCGCGUAGGCGGUCUGAUAAGCCGGUUGUGAAAGCCCCGGGCUCAACCUGGGAACGGCAUCCGGAACUGUCAGGCUAGAGUGCAGGAGAGGUAGGUAGAAUUCCCGGUGUAGCGGUGAAAUGCGUAGAGAUCGGGAGGAAUACCAGUGGCGAAGGCGGCCUUCUGGACUGACACUGACGCUGAGGUGCGAAAGCGUGGGUAGCAAACAGGAUUAGAUACCCCAGUAGUC
rnacentral:rRNA from 1 species